AAAAAGAAAAGAUUGGGUGGGCAAAUGCAUGUUACCUACUGAUGUUACCGAGUAUCUCAAGUACUAACAACAGCUCUAUGUUUCUCAAAAGGAAAGUCUCAAAGCGACGACGUAUUAUUUUCACGCACGUUUUAAAUUCUUGAUGCCUUUUUUUGUU
rnacentral:sRNA from 1 species